UACGUAUGGUGCAAGCGUUAUCCGGAUUUACUGGGUGUAAAGGGAGCGCAGGCGGUGCGGCAAGUCUGAUGUGAAAGCCCGGGGCUCAACCCCGGUACUGCAUUGGAAACUGUCGUACUAGAGUGUCGGAGGGGUAAGUGGAAUUCCUAGUGUAGCGGUGAAAUGCGUAGAUAUUAGGAGGAACACCAGUGGCGAAGGCAGCUUACUGGACGAUAACUGACGCUGAGGCUCGAAAGCGUGGGGAGCAAACAGG
rnacentral:rRNA from 1 species